rnacentral:rRNA from 1 species
UACGGGGGGGGCAAGCGUUGUUCGGAAUUGCUGGGCGUAAAGGGCUCGUAGGCGGCCAACUAAGUCAGACGUGAAAUCCCUCGGCUUAACCGGGGAACUGCGUCUGAUACUGGAUGGCUUGAAUCCGGGAGAGGGAUGCGGAAUUCCAGGUGUAGCGGUGAAAUGCGUAGAUAUCUGGAGGAACACCGGUGGCGAAGGCAGCCAUCUGGACCGACACUGACGCUGAGGCGCGAAAGCGUGGGGAGCAAACAGG